AGAAAGGAAGACCCACUGAGGUGGCGGGGCAAGCCCUUACCCAUCUCUCUGAUAUAUUUGAAUCAGAUAGAAGGGAAGGGGUUGCUCCUUCAUCUCACAGCACCACACCCUUCAA
rnacentral:precursor_RNA from 15 species